AAAAAAAUCUUUAAAUAAUAUGCUUUCCUGAAAAAAAGUGUGUUUUCAAACUGUUAGCGGAUUUUCAUCCCCCCCAUGACUCCUCUCCUGCAACUGUCAAAAAUAACCUACUAAGUUCUCAAUGAUUACUUUUCUAGCAACCUAUUUCAUUACCCCUGCUUAGACCCUUUGUGUCAUUUUACCCCACUCCCUCUAGCAUGUAGGCUCAUUGAGUAGGGCCCUCAAC